CCUGUUAGGCCUUGCUUGGCUGUUUCGCCGCUGGCUGUUUGAGGGCCCGGAAGAGCGGCUCAUUAAUGGUUGUAACGCAAGUGCAGGGCGCGGGAUUGGUUCUUAAUACUUGCCGCCAGAUGAUAUUUUGAGCGUAGAUAGGAUAUGUGUUCAUUAUUCCUAAUGUGAGGGAGGAAACUAAGUCCCCGAACAACCGCGAUU
rnacentral:lncRNA from 1 species